CACAGAUUGAAGAGACAAUUGAUGCCACCUCCGAUUUAUGUGCUUACAAGGUGCAGCUUUCUGAGAAAUUAAUGAGCAAUAUUCUCUUCAAGAAGCUUGGGGAUUAUGAGAUAUCAUGGAUUGAUGCAGAAGUUGGAAAGACGGAUGAUGUGCUUUCUCUGCUCCCUCUCUCAUCUACUCCUCCAACCCAUAAAUCUGUUCUUGUGGGAGAUCUAAAAUUGGCAGACUUUAAGCAGUUUCUUGCAAGCAAAGGCAUCCAGGUAGAAAUUUCCGGUGGUGCCUUGCGUUGCGG
rnacentral:misc_RNA from 1 species